ACAUAUUAUUUGGAGGAUGAGGAGUUGAAAAUAUAUUCAUUCAGCCAAUACUCGAGUGGCUACUGAGAACUUAUUACAGAUGCCUAAGGAGUUGAUAACCAUACAUAUGAUCAUCAUCAAGGGCCCGAGAAAAUCACAUGGCUCCAGUGAAUUCUAGUCAUUAACAAGACCUGGACAACCUCUAUACUACUGCAGGAAGCAACCCCUGGAUGUACAUUUCUCCUAGGUCAGCUGGGUCCCGAAGCAGCUGAUCCUCCUUCUGAUGAAUCAGAGAUGGUCAAUUGUUACCUAACGCUGUAUCACUGCGCGGACCCGCUGCGUCUCCUCAUGUGGGCAUUUUAUCACCUGGCAACAUCUCAAGAAGUGGGUUAAGGAAAAGGAAGCUUUCUCUUCUUCUGAAUGCUCUGGCAUGUGGGGAUAAGCCCUGAAACUGCUGCAGUCUUUUGCCACCACUAUGUGGGUCAGACUGAAGAAGAUGCCAAUAUAGAAAGGAGAUUUGUAACAGGAAAAUGUCAGAGAAACUGAGCUACUGGAGACCAGAUUAAUCUACUUAGAAGCCCACACUACACCUGAAUGGGUCAGUUUCCUGAGUCAGUAAACUCUCCACGUUAAGUCACAUUGUAUUAGCUUUUUAUAUUUUAUUUGAAAAUCAGUUCAUGCUAAUUGGUACUUAUAUUCCAGCUGAUCCUUAGCAAUAUAUUUGCAUUAGGUAAUUCGUAGGAAAUAUAACACAGAAGGGCACAGACUGUAUUUUUAUGUUUCAAGAGUAAGUUUUGAGGGUCACACUGAGAAGAAACUAUAGACUUUAUUCUAGUGCUCCAUUCUUGUAUUUGUGAGUGUCUGGGAGUGUGUGUGUGAGAAAGAGAGAGAUUCAGAGGAAGCAAUACUAUCAGUCGCAAUUUAUUCUUAAAAUAUAUAUAUAUAUUCCUUGAGAAGUUGGUAACCUAAUUCUAAGGAAUAAAAUAUUUGAGGUCAGUGGCUCAAAUGAUGUUCCAGAAAUGAUUGUGCGAAGAAUCAAUUAACUGGAUGAUUAUUUAUAAAAUGAAGCUUUUGAGCUAUAAAAUACUUGUGAGUAUUAUUUUGUAAAUAUUUUGGUUCAGGAAAUUAUUUUCUUACUUUUAAAUUUCUGCUGUCUGCAAAAGAACAAUAGCUUUUUAAGCAGGGGGAGUGACUGAUAGGGAGUCUAUUUCUUUGACUUUUUUUUUUUUCUCUUGGAAAAAGGCAUUCAACCCCAGGCCAAACACUUCAGAUUUUUAUGAGUUGUAAAAAUACUUUGUAACUGAAGGGUACCAGUGUAGGCUUGGGGGAAGGAAAAAAGGAGGAGGAGUAGAAAUGCAUUCUAAAUGUGGUUGACUACUGCUAUGGGUUCCUGCUAAACAUUAGUAUGUUGUCCAUAAAUUCAGGUUUUCAAUGUUUUAAAAUAUAAUGUUACUUUAUAUAAUUAUAUAUAUAUAAUUAUAUAUAAUAUAUAAUUUUAUUAACAUAACAUAUUUUAAAAUAUAAUAUUAUUAUUUUAGAAAAUGUUCUUAGGGCUUUUAAUGGUGAUCAUGGGGCAUGUUCUAAAUUUGGA